rnacentral:rRNA from 1 species
GACAGAGGCCUCGAGCGUUAGGCGGAAUCACUGGGCUUAAAGCGUGUGUAGGCGGAUGCCUAAGUACCUUGUGAAAUCCCACGGCUCACCCGUGGAACGGCUGGGUAUACUGGGUGUCUUGAGCCACUUAGGGGCUGCCGGAACAAAUGGUGGAGCGGUGAAAUGCGUAGAUAUCGGAAGGAACACCGAUGGCGAAAGCAGCGCGCUGGACCUCUACUGACGCUGAGGCGCGAAAGCCAGGGGAGCAAACGGG